UUAUGGCUCAGGACGAACGCUGGCGGCGUGCCUAAUACAUGCAAGUCGAACGGUCUUUUCUAUGGAAGCUUGCUUCCACUGAGAAGAUAGUGGCGAACGGGUGAGUAACACGUGGGGUAACCUGCCCAUAAGAGGGGGGAUAACAUCCGGAAACGGGUGCUAAUACCGCAUAGUUUUCUUGGUCGCAUGAUCGGGAAAGGAAAGACGGCCUUUGUGCUGUCGCUUAUGGAUGGACCCGCGGCGUAUUAGUUAGUUGGUGAGGUAACGGCUCACCAAGACGAUGAUACGUAGCCGACCUGAGAGGGUGAUCGGCCACAUUGGGACUGAGACACGGCCCAAACUCCUACGGGAGGCAGCAGUAGGGAAUCUUCCGCAAUGGACGAAAGUCUGACGGAGCAACGCCGCGUGAGUGAAAGAAGGUUUUCGGAUCGUAAAACUCUGUUGUCAGAGAAGAACAAGUUGGAGAGUAACUGCUCCAGCCUUGACGGUAUCUGACCAGAAAGCCACGGCUAACUACGUGCCAGCCGCCGC
rnacentral:rRNA from 1 species